GAUGAACGCUAGCGGCAGGCCUAACACAUGCAAGUCGAGGGGUAUAGUUCUUCAGAACUAGAGACCGGCGCACGGGUGCGUAACGCGUAUGCAAUCUACCUUUUACAGGGGAAUAGCCCAGAGAAAUUUGGAUUAAUGCCCCAUAGUGUUAUAGAAUCGCAUGGUUUUAUAACUAAAGUUCCAACGGUAAAGAUGAGCAUGCGUCCCAUUAGUUAGUUGGUAAGGUAACGGCUUACCAAGACAAUGAUGGGUAGGGGUCCUGAGAGGGAGAUCCCCCACACUGGUACUGAGACACGGACCAGACUCCUACGGGAGGCAGCAGUGAGGAAUAUUGGACAAUGGGCGGCAAGCCUGAUCCAGCCAUGCCGCGUGCAGGGAGACGGUCCUAUGGAUUGUAAACUGCUUUUGUACAGGAAGAAACACUCCCUCGUGAGGGAGCUUGACGGUACUGUAAGAAUAAGGAUCGGCUAACUCCGUG
rnacentral:rRNA from 1 species